CCUUCGAUAGCUCAGUUGGUAGAGCGGAGGACUGUAGAACGGUAAAUGCUGUAAUCCUUAGGUCGCUGGUUCAAAUCCGGCUCGAAGGA
rfam:Salmo salar isolate Sally breed double haploid chromosome ssa08, whole genome shotgun sequence.